AAUGUCUGUUGAACUGAAUGAGUGAGGGUCAUGUUGCUCUCUCGCUUAAAAACCUUCCAUGGCUCCCUAUUGCCUUCAACAUGCCUCCUCUGGGCAGCUUGGCGUUCCUGCCUCAUCUUCCACUGCCACCACCCAUCCCACACACCUCCUCCUGUAGCUGCGCUGGGUCGGCUCCCCGUCGGCUGAGCUCUCGAGUCCUUUCCCAUCAUGGUGCUCUGCUCAUAUCAUCCCCCUUGCUGCCUCCUCCGUGUUACCAAGACUCAGUUCAGGCAUGAAGUCUCCGUGGGCUCUGAGGGUUCGGGGCUCUUCCGGGGUAGAAUUUGUCGUUCCCACCUCUGUUCUCCAUGGCACUUUGUACAGACUCCUGUACAAAGACCUCUGUACAUGUGUCACGCUGUUUUGUGAUCAUGUGUUUCUGUGUCUGUCUCCCUCAGUAGACUGUGAGCUCCUCGAGGGCAGGAACCGUGUCUUACUCAUCUCUGUAUUCCCAGCGCCUAGCACAGUGCCUGGCACAGAGUACGUUGUUCAUAUAUGUGUGUUGAGUGCAUGACGGGGUGGGGGGAGAUGAGGAGUUGCUGGGACUGGGAACAUUCGUGCCUAGGACAGUGCCUCGCAUUAUGUAGGUUCUCAGUAAGAGUGAAUGGUGUGUCUGUGUGAGUGGGGGGCCACGAGGCAUGUGCAUGUCCAGCAAAGGGCUCAUUACCCCUGCCCCCCCAGCCCUACCUACAAGUGGAAGCGGCAGGUGACUCAGCGGAACCCUGUGGGACAGAAAAAGCGCAAGAUGUCCCUGUUGUUUGACCACCUGGAGCCCAUGGAGCUGGCGGAGCAUCUCACCUACUUGGAGUAUCGCUCCUUCUGCAAGAUCCUGUUUCAGGACUAUCACAGUUUCGUGACUCAUGGCUGCACUGUGGACAACCCCGUCCUGGAGCGGUUCAUCUCCCUCUUCAACAGCGUCUCGCAGUGGGUGCAGCUCAUGAUCCUCAGCAAACCCACAGCCCCGCAGCGGGCCCUGGUCAUCACACACUUUGUCCACGUGGCGGAGAAGCUGCUACAGCUGCAGAACUUCAACACGCUGAUGGCAGUGGUCGGGGGCCUGAGCCACAGCUCCAUCUCCCGCCUCAAGGAGACCCACAGCCACGUUAGCCCUGAGACCAUCAAGCUCUGGGAGGGUCUCACGGAACUAGUGACGGCGACAGGCAACUAUGGCAACUACCGGCGUCGGCUGGCAGCCUGUGUGGGCUUCCGCUUCCCUAUCCUGGGUGUGCACCUCAAGGACCUGGUGGCCCUGCAGCUGGCACUGCCUGACUGGCUGGACCCAGCCCGGACCCGGCUCAACGGGGCCAAGAUGAAGCAGCUCUUUAGCAUCCUGGAGGAGCUGGCCAUGGUGACCAGCCUGCGGCCACCAGUACAGGCCAACCCCGACCUGCUGAGCCUGCUCACGGUGUCUCUGGAUCAGUAUCAGACGGAGGAUGAGCUGUACCAGCUGUCCCUGCAGCGGGAGCCGCGCUCCAAGUCCUCGCCAACCAGCCCCACGAGUUGCACCCCACCACCCCGGCCCCCGGUGCUGGAGGAGUGGACCUCGGCUGCCAAACCCAAGCUGGAUCAGGCCCUCGUGGUGGAGCACAUCGAGAAGAUGGUGGAGUCUGUGUUCCGGAACUUUGACGUCGAUGGGGAUGGCCACAUCUCACAGGAAGAAUUCCAGAUCAUCCGUGGGAACUUCCCUUACCUCAGCGCCUUUGGGGACCUCGACCAGAACCAGGAUGGCUGCAUCAGCAGGGAGGAGAUGGUUUCCUAUUUCCUGCGCUCCAGCUCUGUGUUGGGGGGCCGCAUGGGCUUCGUACACAACUUCCAGGAGAGCAACUCCUUGCGCCCCGUCGCCUGCCGCCACUGCAAAACCCUGAUCCUGGGCAUCUACAAGCAGGGCCUCAAAUGCCGAGCCUGUGGUGUGAACUGCCACAAGCAGUGCAAGGAUCGCCUGUCAGUUGAGUGUCGGCGCAGGGCCCAGAGUGUGAGCCUGGAGGGGUCUGCACCCUCACCCUCACCCACGCACAGCCACCAUCACCGCGCCUUCAGCUUCUCUCUGCCCCGCCCUGGCAGGCGAGGCUCCAGGCCUCCAGCAGAGAUCCGUGAGGAGGAGGUACAGACGGUGGAGGAUGGGGUGUUUGACAUCCACUUGUAAUAGAUGCUGUGGUUGGAUCAAGGACUCAUUCCUGCCUUGGAGAAAAUACUUCAACCAGAGCAGGGAGCCUGGGGGUGUCGGGGCAGGAGGCUGGGGAUGGGGGUGGGAUAUGAGGGUGGCAUGCAGCUGAGGGCAGGGCCAGGGCUGGUGUCCCUAAGGUUGUACAGACUCUUGUGAAUAUUUGUAUUUUCCAGAUGGAAUAAAAAGGCCCGUGUAAUUAACCUUCA
rnacentral:sRNA from 1 species